rnacentral:snoRNA from 1 species
ACUCUCCAGACUCCUUACCCAUCCGAUCUAAAAAUUGGUCUGAGAGGGUAUACAAGGAGGAAAAGUAAAACUGAAACAGACUUAGAUUCUUGUGUGACACACAACUUGGCUUGAAACAAAUAAGC